ACGGGUGAGUAACGCGUGGGUAACCUGCCUUAUACAGGGGGAUAACAGUCAGAAAUGGCUGCUAAUACCGCAUAAGCGCACAGAGCUGCAUGGCUCAGUGUGAAAAACUCCGGUGGUAUAAGAUGGACCCGCGUCUGAUUAGCUUGUUGGUGGGGUAACGGCCCACCAAGGCGACGAUCCAUAGCCGGCCUGAGAGGGUGAACGGUCACAUUGGGACUGAGACACGGCCCAGACUCCUACGGGAGGCAGCAUG
rnacentral:rRNA from 1 species